rnacentral:lncRNA from 1 species
UUGCUUCUAUAUCAGGACUGAAUGGCCUGACCCAAGACUUCCAGGAAUGGUUUUCAGGCAGAUGAUGACCUCAACAGCCAGAAGUGAAAGCUAAUUCCAGAACCCACCCAGCUGCUGUCCCUGAGACUCUACAGACCUCCAAGUAAAGUCAGUUCACCUGGAGGGCUUCCUGGAGGAGAAGAGAAGCUGGAAACACUGGAGCCAGUGAUCCCCACGGGGACACUAAUUCAUUUCCAUAGUUUUUAUCUUAGAACCUAGACCACUGACUGAAGCUCUCAAAGUCUCAGGAUCCACACACAUUUUUCCCAUUUAUUCUUCUGUGUACAUAUCCAUCAUACAUGAGCAGAGCUCCCUAGCAGUUGAGAUGCAAAAGCUCAGGGGAUGUUAUGGUUUGGAUAUGAGGUGUCCCCCACAAACUGUUAAUGCAGGCAUAUUCAGAGGUAACAUGAUUGGAUUGCAAGAGCUGCAACCUAAUCAGUCCAUUCUAGUUUAAAUGGACUGGGCAAUAACUGUGGGCAAGUA